rnacentral:rRNA from 1 species
GGGAUUGCCCUAGUAACGGCGAGUGAAGCGGCAACAGCUCAAAUUUGAAAUCUGGCCUCGGCCCGAGUUGUAAUUUGUAGAGGAAGCUUUUGGCACGGCACCUGCUGAGUCCCCUGGAACGGGGCGCCAUAGAGGGUGAGAGCCCCGUAUAGCAGGACGCCUAGCCUCUGUAAAGCUCCUUCGACGAGUCGAGUAGUUUGGGAAUGCUGCUCAAAAUGGGAGGUAAAUUUCUUCUAAAGCUAAAUACCGGCCAGAGACCGAUAGCGCACAAGUAGAGUGAUCGAAAGAUGAAAAGCACUUUGAAAAGAGGGUUAAAUAGCACGUGAAAUUGUUGAAAGGGAAGCGCUUGUGACCAGACUUGCGCCGGGCUGAUCAUCCGAGGUUCUCCUCGGUGCACUCUGCCCGGCUCAGGCCAGCAUCGGUUCUCGCGGGGGGAUAAAGGCCCUGGGAACGUAGCUCCUCCGGGAGUGUUAUAGCCCGGGGUGUAAUGCCCUCGCGGGGACCGAGGACCGCGCUUCGGCAAGGAUGCUGGCGUAAUGGUCAUCAGCGACCCGUCUUGAAACACGGACCAAGGAGUCAAGGUUUUGCGCGAGUGUUUGGGUGUUAAACCCGCACGCGUAAUGAAAGUGAACGUAGGUGAGAGCUUCGGCGCAUCAUCGACCGAUCCUGAUGUAUUCGGAUGGAUUUGAGUAGGAGCGUUAAGCCUUGGACCCGAAAGAUGGUGAACUAUGCUUGGAUAGGGUGAAGCCAGAGGAAACUCUGGUGGAGGCUCGCAGCGGUUCUGACGUGCAAAUCGAUCGUCAAAUCUGAGCAUGGGGGCGAAAGACUAAUCGAACCAUCUAGUAGCUGGUUACCGCCGAAGUUUCCCUCAGGAUAGCAGUGUUGUUCUUCAGUUUUAUGAGGUAAAGCGAAUGAUUAGGGACUCGGGGGCGCUUUUUAGCCUUCAUCCAUUCUCAAACUUUAAAUAUGUAAGAAGCCCUUGUUACUUAAUUGAACGUGGGCAUUCGAAUGUACCAACACUAGUGGGCCAUUUUUGGUAAGCA